AUCAUGAAUCUGAAGUUACAUUGUUCAGAUUCUUUCGAGAAUCUUGCGUGUAACAUGGUUGGCGUGUAGAGGUUGACAAGAGUACAGACAGGGCGGCGAUUGUCCUUGCAGUUUCGACUGCAGGUUGAGAGUUGGCGUCUUGCCAUGAAAAUUGACUAAAGGAUGCUGCGUAGCUAGCCAACAGAUUCUAAAACGAUUGGAGUGAUCCUGAUCCUUCUCCUUUGGAGAGGAAUUGGUUGAUCCUCUGACAACUGUAUAUUCCUAAAUCUUUCGCUACAUGAUCUCUGGAUCCUUGCAGUUGGGUAAAACCAUACAGUUGACAUUU
rnacentral:snoRNA from 1 species